UUAUUCAGAAAAUGUGAUCAUUCUAAUGUCUUCAAAUAUGAAUGCAUUUGGAAGGUUGCUUGCUAGAAACACAGCUGGAAAACUGGAAAGAAAGCACUCCCUCGUUACUUCAGUUAUCCUAUGUGGCAAGAGAAGAAAGGGUCAGUUUCACAAAAUGUGACUAAUUUAUUUUGUCCCACCUUAGAGCUAUCCACAAUCAGCAGGGAAAAGCAGGGGUUGAAAGGUGACA
rnacentral:lncRNA from 1 species